rfam:Cavia porcellus supercont2_32 genomic scaffold, whole genome shotgun sequence.
UGGCGCCCAACGUGGGCCCCGAGAACAGGGGAAUUAGUGAGGGACAUUGUUCGUGGGCCCAAAGUAGAAAAAGGAAAAAGAAAAUAGAGACCGACGUGGGAGCCUGCCAUGCUGCUGAACCUCGGUAAGUGAACAGUGAUUAUGGGACAAGAAAUUAGCCAAAGUUUAGAAAAGCUUUAAAGACACAAAGGGUAAGGAAAAACAAAUUUAGCAAUUGUGUCCAUUAGGACGAGAAAUGAGCCAACGUGAGAUAUUUGUUAAAAGUUUAAGAAAGGCUUUAAAGACC